rnacentral:lncRNA from 1 species
CUUCUCCUUAGGGACGACGCAUUCGAAUUGCGUAAAGCCUUAAGCUCUGUAUGCUUACAUGAGAAAUCAAUGCCAUAAGCUUGAAUAACUGUAACUAGAGAGGGUUGAAGAAGCAUACCAUUUCAAACCCUAACGUCGAUUGAGGGAAGGCCGAGUAUCGUUCCGUUCUCUGAAGCGUUUGAUGACAUUUGGGAAGUUUGGAACAAAA